AUUCAUUCGUGUAUAGAGGAGCUACGCCUCUUUUAGGGGGGUCUGGCAUACUCCCUGUCCUUUUAUUGUUAGCUAGCAGUCUCAAGCCACAGAAGUAGCUAACAUUAAUUUAAAUGUUAGCUACAAGUAGGCCUAACGGUGCAUGGACACUAGAUAGAGGUAAAUUGCCGCGUGUCGCUCAGGUCGCACAUUGUGACUCGCUUGUGGGCGUGCUGGCAGCAUAUGGCAGCACUUUCGAUUGUGCGUCAAGAAUUCAGCAUAGCAUGUUUGUAUGAACGUCUGGUUAUUAAAUGGGUACAUAGUUCAAUAGUAAUAUCCUCUAAAACGCUCUAGUGACAAACUAACUUUGCUGCCCUGUUUCAAAUUAUCUACAUGGCUGGGAGAACCUAUUCAAGUAAAGUAAAUACAUUUAAAAAAUAUAAAGAGAGCUAUGAAAGCCGGUCUACAUAUGAAGAGCAGUGGUUCUCAGUCCUGGGGUCUCAAAAGGGAUACCUUGUAACUGGAGAUUCCUUCAAAACGAUUGCCUACAGUUAACAUAUAGGGCACUGCAAGGUUGGGUGACCAGGGCCACCUGGGACUGCCUCCUGGGGGAAUUCAGGUGUGUGAAGGCUACCUGUGUCCUGCAUAACUUGAUGAGGAUGGACACGAGGACCAGGAGGGGAUGUGCAGCUUGCCGCCGUGUGCCAGAGUAGAAGUCUGCUGCUCUGUGAGAUGUUUCAAGGAUGGGGUCUAACAACGCAGCAAGAGGGGAGAUCUUCACCUCCUACUUCUUCGAAGAUGUUGCUGUUCCCUGGUAACACCAUUGACUACACUAUGCACAACCAAAGGCUCUUUUAAGAGCCAUUGACAUUGCAAUAAGAGUAUUCUUCCAUUUACUUAACGAUGUCAACAGCAGUUAUUCAAUUCCCAGUUUCUCUCCCCUUGAUUUCAUCUUCUCAGAUGAGGGUGCUGUUUAGCCACGGAUGUGAUGUCUGUACAGAAACAAAACAGGCUAUUUUAAUCACCCAUAUUGAUUUUUUUUUAAACAAUUAGAUACGCUAUAACCCAUACACUCAUGUAUCAAUAUGAUUGUGUUGUGCAGUAAGCAGGCUUAGGUGUAUAACUGUGGCUCCUUCCACCUUCAAAAAAUAGGCAAGAGGGCCAACCAUGGAGAAUAGUAAGAUAAUUCAUUAUUUCUAUAACUACUCUAUUGUUUGUCCUCGUGUGUCCGUUCAUGUUUUUCUGCAUAAAGUACUCUGCAGCCACUUAGUGUGGUGUGGACACCAGGAGAGGCCGCACAGAGCUUCCUUUUGAACACAGUCACUUUAACUACCUUAUUUUUCAAUAACAGUCUCGUUCAAUUCAUCCCUCUCUCUUCUCCCUAAAUCCUCUAGGUUAUAUCAGCUGUGUCAGUGAACCCCUCCCACAUCUGAACUGGCUACAUAGAGGGCACAGCAUGAUCAGAGGUUAGAGGUCACUUGGUCAGGUCAACAUUAAGUAUUAUUAAAGAGAUGCUUUACAUUGAAAUAGAGAUGAAGUAGUCCCAGAGUUAAUGAUCCAAGGUCAGUUUUGCAUUUCACUUCCUGAUUGAUGACUAACAACAUUAGAAUAAAAAUAAGGCUUAAACAUGCUCUCUCUCCAUCUGUCUCUUGUCUGCAGAUAUGUUUUGAUGUGAGAGGGGAUGCCAACCCCCAGUCCUAUCAUCGCCACAUCACCUGCUUUUAAGAUAACCUUUGGGCUGUUGAGUGAUACUUAUGUAAUUGUGAUGAACUGAGAAUAUUUAGGUAGCACUGUGAUUCAUUAAUCAUAUGCUGCCUUCCCUGCUCCUAUGUUUUACCUCUUUCCCUUUUACACCUCUCCCGCCGCCUCUUUCUUCAUAAUGCACAACAGAUGUGCAUUGAAGUACAGAUUGAACUUGAAUUUAUAACAUUACCAUUAUAAUAUUUAUAAUGCAUGUAUUUAUAACACUUGGAUAAUGAGAUUUUCAAUAAAGCAUUUUACAUUCUCUACUGGUUGAAAUUAAGUCUAAUUUGAUUAAAUACUACACCUAUCCUGUGUUUAUCAGAUCAAUGCAGAUGAAGGGCAUUCGGUAUUGAGAUGAACCGGUUUUAGACUAUUUACAUGAUGCAUUGGAAGUGUAGUGUACUGUUUUUCUGUAUAUAUGAAUUACAAACCAGCCUUUAACUAUUUAAAUCCUGUUUCUAGUCUAUUAGCUUCAAUGUGUAACCAUUGAUGUCCCAGGAACAAAAUGAGCAAACCCUGUUGAAGUGUAUAAUUGUAAUACAUACAUGCAGACACAGUCAUUCAAAGACUGAAAUUUGAUACUCCUGUUAUUGGAUAUGACUGAAAAAUAAUCUCAAAGACAUUCAUACCUGAACUGCACAUGUAUAUGCCAAGGUAGAGUACAUGAUCAGUGAAUAUAUUAAAUGUACAGACUACAAUGUAGGGAUCUCAUGCAUGGUAAUAACUACAUGUAUAAACAACCUGCAUCCUUGACACAAAGUUAUAUUAUAUUCUACUCAAUCCAUAGGCUUCAUUAAUGUCAUUCAGACUGUUUUGAAGUUGAUACAACUGGCUAUGAGAGCUGAGGUUCAUAGCUAGGUUCUGAACUAAUAUGUAUACCAAACGUCUGGGUCUAUACACAGAUCGGCUAGAUAGCUAGCUACACAUCCAUAGGCAUACAGGCAUUUGUUCCAUCACUGCACACUAAGCAAGAACAUAGCUAGCUAGCUACGUUGUUAAAUCUGCAUAGCAUGCUUACAAAAUUGUACAUUCAAUUUGCAGUUAAUACUUCAGCUAGCUAGAUUCUAUACAUCCACUGUUUCACAAGACGACAGAUAAAGCCCCCCUAAAAUAGGCCUAGCGACGUCCCUGGUCCACACAAUGUGGGAAAGUCCCUCUGGCAUCACAGUAAUAUGAUAAACAUCACAGAAAAACAUUACAUGACAUCAGAACAUCUUCAUCAUCUCAAAUACAAAAAUGGGUCACCCUACAUGUUUAAAAAAAGAUUGUUACCUUUUCAAAAAUGAUUCUUAGAGGUUUGAUAAGUAAAUGGAUAUGGAAUACUGACCAAUAGCGCACAUUGUGAAUAUUUACCCACUGUUUGCACCAUUCGUUAUUGGGCUUUGUAGUACAGAAUCUGGAACAUUUACAAUGUAAAACAUCGGUGUGUUCCCUAUUUACUUGCAAGUGGUAACGACUCUUUC
ensembl:lncRNA